CCUACGGGUGGCAGCAGUGGGGAAUAUUGGACAAUGGGCGAAAGCCUGAUCCAGCCAUGCCGCGUGUGUGAAGAAGGCCUUCGGGUUGUAAAGCACUUUCAGUGGGGAAGAAAGCCUUGGGGCUAAUACCCUCGAGGAAGGACAUCACCCACAGAAGAAGCACCGGCUAACUCCGUGCCAGCAGCCGCGGUAAUACGGAGGGUGCGAGCGUUAAUCGGAAUUACUGGGCGUAAAGCGCGCGUAGGCGGUCUGAUAAGCCGGUUGUGAAAGCCCCGGGCUCAACCUGGGAACGGCAUCCGGAACUGUCAGGCUAGAGUGCAGGAGAGGAAGGUAGAAUUCCCGGGGUAGCGGUGAAAUGCGUAGAGAUCGGGAGGAAUACCAGUGGCGAAGGCGGCCUUCUGGACUGACACUGACGCUGAGGUGCGAAAGCGUGGGUAGCAAACAGGAUUAGAUACCCCAGUAGC
rnacentral:rRNA from 1 species